rnacentral:rRNA from 1 species
UCGAACGCGAAAGCCCCGCAAGGGGUAAGUAGAGUGGCAAACGGGUGAGUAACACGUAGGUGACCUGCCUCAGAGUGGGGGAUAACGACCCGAAAGGGUCGCUAAUACCGCAUAACAUCCUGCCUUUGGAAAGGUGGAGAUCAAAGCCGGGGAUCGCAAGACCUGGCGCUUGGAGAGGGGCCUGCGGCCGAUUAGCUAGUUGGUAGGGUAAUGGCCUACCAAGGCAACGAUCGGUAUCCGGCCUGAGAGGGCGGACGGACACACUGGGACUGAGACACGGCCCAGACUCCUACGGGAGGCAGCAGUGGGGAAUUGUUCGCAAUGGGCGCAAGCCUGACGACGCAACGCCGCGUGGAGGAUGAAGAUCUUCGGGUCGUAAACUCCUUUCGAUCGGGAAGAACGUUUUCGGGGUGAACAACCUCGAGAAGUGACGGUACCGAGAGAAGAAGCCCCGGCUAACUCUGUGCCAGCAGCCGCGGUAAUACAGGGGGGGCAAGCGUUGUUCGGAAUUACUGGGCGUAAAGGGCCAGUAGGCGGCCGACUAAGUCCGACGUGAAAUCCCCAGGCUUAACCUGGGAACUGCGUCGGAUACUGGUUGGCUUGAAUUCGGGAGAGGGAUGCAGAAUUCCAGGUGUAGCGGUGAAAUGCGUAGAUAUCUGGAGGAAUACCGGUGGCGAAGGCGGCAUCCUG